GAUGAAUGAUGGCGGCGUGCCUAAUACAUGCAAGUCGAGCGAACAGACGAGGAGCUUGCUCCUCUGACGUUAGCGGCGGACGGGUGAGUAACACGUGGAUAACCUACCUAUAAGACUGGGAUAACUUCGGGAAACCGGAGCUAAUACCGGAUAAUAUAUUGAACCGCAUGGUUCAAUAGUGAAAGACGGUUUUGCUGUCACUUAUAGAUGGAUCCGCGCCGCAUUAGCUAGUUGGUAAGGUAACGGCUUACCAAGGCAACGAUGCGUAGCCGACCUGAGAGGGUGAUCGGCCACACUGGAACUGAGACACGGUCCAGACUCCUACGGGAGGCAGCAGUAGGGAAUCUUCCGCAAUGGGCGAAAGCUUGACGGAGCAACGCCGCGUGAGUGAUGAAGGUCUUCGGAUCGUAAAACUCUGUUAUUAGGGAAGAACAAAUGUGUAAGUAACUAUGCACGUCUUGACGGUACCUAAUCAGAAAGCCACGGCUAACUACGUG
rnacentral:rRNA from 1 species